UACAGAGGGUGCGAGCGUUAAUCGGAUUUACUGGGCGUAAAGGGCGCGUAGGCGGUGAUGUGAGUGUGAUGUGAAAGCCUCGGGCUUAACCUGGGAACUGCAUUUGUGACUGCAUAGCUGGAGUGCGGCAGAGGGGGAUGGAAUUCCGCGUGUAGCAGUGAAAUGCGUAGAUAUGCGGAGGAACACCGAUGGCGAAGGCAAUCCCCUGGGCCUGCACUGACGCUCAUGCACGAAAGCGUGGGGAGCAAACAGGAUUAGAUACCCUGGUAGU
rnacentral:rRNA from 1 species